CUGCACAUACAUGCAUAUAUUUGUAUGUAAGUGUGUGAGAAUAUUUAAAAAAAAAAGUCUUCUAGAGUUAUUCACCAUUUAACUGUGUAUUUUACCGCGAUCUAGUUUAACAUGAUUAACCCUCAAGAUUAAGAUCACGCCAAGAUUAAUUUUUAGCUUCGGAAGCAUAUUUGGUAAAUACAAAUCGAUUUUAAUUUAAUGUUUCCUGGAAAGGAAAUGCGCAUUAGCUUUAAAAUGGGAAGCGUUUAAGAAGAAAAUACAACAGUACUAUGCGUAUAAUAUCCACAAAGUAAACAGCAAGAAGCUGUUUAUGAAUUUCAAGAAUUCAGAGACUAUUGACUUUAUUUUGACUAUACUGCUCCCCUCAAUUUUACCGUCCAAUACAUGGUACUCUUCAAAAGCACCAAAAACCAGGACGCCCAGGAAAGUCGCCGACUAUCGCCAAAGGA